rnacentral:rRNA from 1 species
AUUGAACGCUGGCGGCAUGCCUUACACAUGCAAGUCGAACGGCAGCACGGGAGCAAUCCUGGUGGCGAGUGGCGAACGGGUGAGUAAUAUAUCGGAACGUGCCCAGUCGUGGGGGAUAACGUAGCGAAAGCUACGCUAAUACCGCAUACGAUCUAUGGAUGAAAGCGGGGGAUCGCAAGACCUCGCGCGAUUGGAGCGGCCGAUAUCAGAUUAGGUAGUUGGUGAGGUAAAGGCUCACCAAGCCGACGAUCUGUAGCUGGUCUGAGAGGACGACCAGCCACACUGGGACUGAGACACGGCCCAGACUCCUACGGGAGGCAGCAGUGGGGGAAUUUUUGGGACAAUGGGCGCAAGCCUGAUCCAGCAAUGCCGCGUGCAGGAUGAAGGCCUCGGUUGUAA